rnacentral:tRNA from 1 species
GGAGGGGUGGCAGAGCGGAUGAAUGCGCUGGUCUUGAAAAUCAGUAGGGGCCGUCAGGUCCCUCGUGGGUUCGAAUCCCACCCCCUCCG